AGUGAACGCUGGCGGUAGGCCUAACACAUGCGAGUCGAACGGCAGCACAGUAAGAGCUUGCUCUUACGGGUGGCGAGUGGCGGACGGGUGAGGAAUACAUCGGAAUCUACUUUUUCGUGGGGGAUAACGUAGGGAAACUUACGCUAAUACCGCAUACGACCUACGGGUGAAAGCAGGGGAUCUUCGGACCUUGCGCGAUUGAAUGAGCCGAUGUCGGAUUAGCUAGUUGGCGGGGUAAAGGCCCACCAAGGCGACGAUCCGUAGCUGGUCUGAGAGGAUGAUCAGCCACACUGGAACUGAGACACGGUCCAGACUCCUACGGGAGGCAGCAGUGGGGAAUAUUGGACAAUGGGCGCAAGCCUGAUCCAGCCAUACCGCGUGGGUGAAGAAGGCCUUCGGGUUGUAAAGCCCUUUUGUCGGGAAAGAAAAGCAGCAGGUUAAUACCCCGCUGUUCUGACGGUACCCAAAGAAUAAGCACCGGCUAACUUCGUG
rnacentral:rRNA from 1 species